GACGAACGCUGGCGGCGUGCUUAACACAUGCAAGUCGAACGGAGAGGCCCUGCUUUCGUGGGGUGCCCGAGUGGCGAACGGGUGAGUAACACGUGAGUAACCUGCCCUUGACUUUGGGAUAACUUCAGGAAACUGGGGCUAAUACCGGAUAGGAGAUCCUGCUGCAUGGUGGGGGUUGGAACGUUUCGGCGGUUGGGGAUGGAUGCGCGGCUUAUCAGCUUGUUGGUGGGGUAGUGGCUUACCAAGGCAUUGACUGGUAGCCGGCCUGUGAGGGUGACCGGGCACAUUGGGACUGAGGUACGGCGCAGUCGCCUACGGGAGGCGGCAGUCGGGAGUAUUGCACAAUGAGCGGGAGCCUGAGGCGGAGGCGCCGCGUGCGUGAUGACGGCCUUCGGGUUGUAAACCGCUUUCGCCCGUGACGAAGCGGGAGUGACGGUAAUGAGUAAAGAAGCACCGGCUAACUACGUG
rnacentral:rRNA from 1 species